UGAUCAGGUAGUGACGGUAUCCAACCAGAAAAGCCACGGCUAAAUACGUGCCAGCAGCCGCGGUAAUACGUAGGUGGCAAGCGUUGUCCGGAUUUAUUGGGCGUAAAGCGAGCGCAGGCGGUUUCUUAAGUCUGAUGUGAAAGCCUUCGGCUCAACCGAAGAAGUGCAUCGGAAACUGGGAAACUUGAGUGCAGAAGAGGACAGUGGAACUCCAUGUGUAGCGGUGAAAUGCGUAGAUAUAUGGAAGAACACCAGUGGCGAAGGCGGCUGUCUGGUCUGUAACUGACGCUGAGGCUCGAAAGCAUGGGUAGCAAACAGGAUUAGAUACCCUGGUAGUCCAUGCCGUAAACGAUGAGUGCUAGGUGUUGGAGGGUUUCCGCCCUUCAGUGCCGCAGCUAACGCAUUAAGCACUCCGCCUGGGGAGUACGACCGCAAGGUUGAAACUCAAAGGAAUUGACGGGGGCCCGCACAAGCGGUGGAGCAUGUGGUUUAAUUCGAAGCAACGCGAAGAACCUUACCAGGUCUUGACAUCCUUUGACCACUCUAGAGAUAGAGCUUUCCCUUCGGGGACAAAGUGACAGGUGGUGCAUGGUUGUCGUCAGCUCGUGUCGUGAGAUGUUGGGUUAAGUCCCGCAACGAGCGCAACCCUU
rnacentral:rRNA from 1 species